rnacentral:rRNA from 1 species
UACGGAGGGGGCUAGCGUUGUUCGGAAUUACUGGGCGUAAAGCGCGCGUAGGCGGACCUGCAAGUCGGGGGUGAAAUCCUGGAGCUCAACUCCAGAACUGCCUUUGAUACUGGAGAGCUAGAGUCCGGAAGAGGUGAGUGGAACUGCGAGUGUAGAGGUGAAAUUCGUAGAUAUUCGCAAGAACACCAAUGGCGAAGGCAGCUCGCUGGAACGGUACUGACGCUGAGGCGCGAAAGCGUGGGGAGCGAACGAGGAU